GAGAUGAAAGAAAAAGUGACAUCUGGAGAGAUGGCAGCUAUGACACUGUAGGAAGGCAGCCUAAGGAAAACAUCCUGAACGUCCAGGCUGGAGCAGAGCACCAAAGACAAACACAAGGACGCCCUGGUCCUUGUGAGGAUGAGGAGCCAAUGGAGCCACCAACGUGUUAGCGGCACUGCACCAAAAGAGAUCAAAAGAGGGGCAGGAAGAAAAGGAAAAAGAAUCCACCCCCAAAAUGAAUAAUUGAACCCUCCCAACCUCGGGAAGGAGGUCUUCUGAAGAGGAGAGGCCAUGAGGCGCCCAUUCUGCCCAGCUUGGCCAUUCUGAACAUUGGCCAGGGUGAGCCAGCGAGGCUCUCUUGGCAUCAUGAAGCCCAAUCUUGUUUCACUGUUAUUUUGUUGAUAUUUUCUUGUUAGCUGUGUCAUCUAAUUCUCUCUUGAGUAUUAUUUAUCUGUUUGUAGGCUUGUUUCAAGGUGAAGGACAGUGAUUAGGGAAGGAAAAGGCAUCCCACCCAACCAGGCUGCCGAGCCUUGGGUCCCCAGCCUCCAAACCCUGAGGUCUUCACAUUCUCUGAUCCAGUCGGAAUUGUAUUUUGUCUUUGA
rnacentral:lncRNA from 12 species